rnacentral:misc_RNA from 1 species
GAUGAAGAACGCAGCGAAAUGCGAUAAGUAAUGCGAAUUGCAGAAUUCAGUGAGUCAUCGAAUCUUUGAACGCACAUUGCGCCCUUUGGUAUUCCGAAGGGCAUGCCUGUUCGAGCGUCAUCUACACCCUCAAGCUCUGCUUGGUGUUGGGCGUCUGUCCCGCCCCCGCGCGUGGACUCGCCCCAAAUCCAUUGGCAGCGUUCCUUGCCCCCUCUCGCGCAGCACAUUGCGCUUCUCGAGGGCGGCUCCGGGACGCGAUCCAGCAAGAUGACCACCGUCUUUGACCUCGGAUCAGGUAGGGAUACCCGCUGAACUUAAGCAUAUCAAUAAGCGGAGGA